rnacentral:rRNA from 1 species
GACGAACCGAGCGAACGUUGUUCGGAAUCACUGGGCUUAAAGGGCGCGUAGGCGGGCUGUCAAGUCUGGGGUGAAAUCCCCGCGGCUCAACCGUGGAACUGCCUUAGAUACUGACGGCCUCGAGGGAGGUAGGGGCGAGCGGAACUGUGAGUGGAGCGGUGAAAUGCGUUGAUAUCCAGCGGAACUCCGGUGGCGAAGGCGGCUCGCUGGACCCCACUGACGCUGAGGCGCGAAAGCCAGGGAGCGAACGGG